rnacentral:rRNA from 1 species
GACCCCAGGUCAGUCGGGACUACCCGCUGAAUUUAAGCAUAUAAAUAAGCGGAGGAAAAGAAACUUACAAGGAUUCCCCUAGUAACGGCGAGCGAACCGGGAACGGCCCAGCUUGAGAAUC